rnacentral:lncRNA from 1 species
AACUGGAGGACCAUAGAAGUCCCUUCUAACUCUCAAAUGCAAUGAUUCUCUAACUUGCAGUCAGAAAAAUUGGAUUAUAAUCCCAGUUCAGUCGUUUAACUUGUUGCAAGGAUUCUGAGAUCUCAGGGACAAAAAAGAAAUAUUUAACUUUCAAGGAGCUAUUAACAAUGAGUUACAUCUGUUUCUACUGACCGUGAUCCUGAGUUCCUGUUUCCUAUUUGUUAUCUUCGUUACUGAGAAGAGCCCACCUGAGCCAAGAAGAUCUGUUUGUCAUCAAGUGAAGCUGCAGUCACUUGGCUGGACCGGCUUGACUAACUGUGGAACGUAUUGUAGUGAAUAGCCCAAGCUGCCAGUAAGUACGGAAUGAAGAUGGAGAAAAAGCUAUAGAAACCUGAACAUCUGUCCCCUUUAUCCUGAGAGAGUGACGAACCAGGAUCUCACUUUUUUCCUUCUCUAUCUAAAGGACAAACAACAUAAAGCGGGGAUUGGAUUGAUAUGGAACACUACAGAAAAUGUUUGCUUAUAAUUAUUUCUAGCACUCUUUUUUUUGAAGCUGAAGGAUAAAACAUUUCCAAUUAUUCAUCAAGCUUUUGGAACUCCUAGGCCUCUAUAAUAGGGAUUUAGCAGAACAACAAAUAGCAGACUAGGAUACAGAUGAAAGGCAAAAAUGUGAAGAGAUUAUUACCAUAAAAAAGCAAAUGACUAUUUGAUGGAAUUACAACAAUACAUAGAGUCAGGCAGAGAUAGAAAAAUCAUGCUAAUUGAUAAAUU